AACUGCUGGACAAGGAGUGUUCUGUUGAGCUCAUUUUCACACGAUGAACAACUGGCUUAGAACUGAUUCGGGCAAGGGGAAUCCGACUGUUUAAUUGAAACAAAGCAUUGCGAGGGCCUCAAAGGGUGGUGCCACAAUGUGAUUUCUGCCCAGUGCUCUGAAUGUCAAAGUGAGGAAAUUCAACUAAGCGCGGGUAAACGGCGGGAGUAACUAUGACUCUCUUAAGGUAGCCAAAUGCCUCGUCAUCCAAUUAGUGACGCGCAUGAAUGGAUUAAUGAGAUUCCCACUGUCCCCAUCUACUGUCCAGCGAAACCACAGCCAAGGGAACGGGCUUGGGUAAAUCAGCGGGGAAAGAAGACCCUGUUGAGCUUGACUCUAAUCUGACUUUGUGAAAUGACUUAGGAGGUGUAGGAUAUGUGGGAGCUCUGGUGAUCUUGAAAUACCACUACUCUUAAUGUCACUUUACUUACUCUAUCAGACUGUGGCCUGCUUCCCAGCAGGUUUUUGUUUCAAGGCAUCUCAUCUGACUUGUUGACUUGCGUAGAGGACGUAAUCAGGUGGGCAGUUUGGCUGGGGCGGCACAUCUGUUAAAGGAUAACGCAGGUGUCCCAAGGUAAGCUCAAGGAGAACAGAAAUCUCAUGUGGAUCAGAAGGGGAAAUGCUUGCUUGAUUUUGCUUUUCAGUGUGAAGACAAACUGUGCAAACAUGGCCUAUCGAUCCUUUGG
rnacentral:rRNA from 1 species